GGACUACAAGGGUUUCUAAUCCUGUUUGCUCCCCUAGCUUUCGUGCCUCAGUGUCAGGUGUCGUCCAGGGACUCGCCUUCGCCACUGGUGUUCCUCUUGAUAUCUACGCAUUUCACUGCUACACCAAGAAUUCCAGUCCCCCCUCCGAACCUCGAGCCAGAUAGUAUUCAAUGCAGUUUCGGAGUUGAGCUCCGAGAUUUCACAUCAAACUUACCUGGCCACCUACGCACCCUUUACGCCCAGUGAAUCCGAACAACGCUUGGGACCUCUGUAUUACCGCGGCUGCUGGCAC
rnacentral:rRNA from 1 species